AUUGAACGCUGGCGGCAGGCCUAACACAUGCAAGUCGAACGGUAACAGGAAGAAGCUUGCUUCUUUGCUGACGAGUGGCGGACGGGUGAGUAAUGUCUGGGAAACUGCCUGAUGGAGGGGGAUAACUACUGGAAACGGUAGCUAAUACCGCAUAACGUCGCAAGACCAAAAAGGGGGACCUUCGGGCCUCUUGCCAUCGGAUGUGCCCAGAUGGGAUUAGCUAGUAGGUGGGGUAACGGCUCACCUAGGCGACGAUCCCUAGCCGGUCUGAGAGGAUGACCAGCCACACUGGAACUGAGACACGGUCCAGACUCCUACGGGAGGCAGCAGUGGGGAAUAUUGCACAAUGGGCGCAAGCCUGAUGCAGCCAUGCCGCGUGUAUGAAGAAGGCCUUCGGGUUGUAAAGUACUUUCAGCGGGGAGGAAGGGAGUAAAGUUAAUACCUUUGCUCAUUGACGUUACCCGCAGAAGAAGCACCGGCUAACUCCGUG
rnacentral:rRNA from 1 species